rnacentral:rRNA from 1 species
AGCUCCAAUAGCAUAUAUUAAAGUUGUUGCAGUUGAAAAGCUCGUAGUCGAAGUUUGUGCCGCUUUUGGGGCCGCUCUGCGCUGGAUUUCGGUCUAGCGCGCUGCAGCCUGGCGGCAUAUGAGGGCGUGAUUGUGCGUGUGGCAUUGAGUUGUUACACGUGUGGUUGCGCAGAUUACUGUGAAAAAAUUAGAGUGUUCCACGCAGGCAUUUUUGCUUGAAUAGAUUAGCAUGGAAUAAUGGAAUAGGACGGUGUUUCCGUUUUGUUGGUUUUAGCGGAUGACGCUGUAAUGAUUAAUAGGGACAGUUGGGGGCAUUAGUAUUUAAUUGUCAGAGGUGAAAUUCACGGAUUUAUGAAAGACUAACUUCUGCGAAAGCAUUUGCCAAGGAUGUUUUCA